rnacentral:rRNA from 1 species
UACGGAGGGGACUAGCGUUGUUCGGAAUUACUGGGCGUAAAGCGCACGUAGGCGGAUUUGUAAGUCAGGGGUGAAAUCCCGGGGCUCAACCUCGGAACUGCCUUCGAUACUGGAAGACUCGAGUCCGGGAGAGGUGAGUGGAACUGCGAGUGUAGAGGUGAAAUUCGUAGAUAUUCGCAAGAACACCAGUGGCGAAGGCGGCUCACUGGCCCGGUACUGACGCUGAGGUGCGAAAGCGUGGGGAGCAAACAGG